AUGUUGGCCAGGCUGGUCUGGAACUCCUGACUUGAAGUAAUCUGCCCACCUCGGCUUCCCAAAGUGCUGGGAUUACAGGCGUGAGCCACUGCGCCUGGCCCCUUCAGGUGGGUAUUGAGGCUUCACUACAAUACUAGUUCCCCGUUGCUGCCGCAAUAAAUUACCACACACUUAGUGGCUUAAAACAGCAUAGAGGUAUUCCUUUACAUUUCUGAAGGCCAGAAUUCUAAAGUCAGUCCCACUGAGUCAAGGUGGGAGCAGGGUCAGUGCCUUUCCAGGCUCUGCGGGAGAAUCCGUUUCCUGGCCCUGGAGGCGGCCUGUACUCCUCAGCUUGUGCUGCCCUUCUCGAAUGACUCGCGUUUCCUGCUUUCAUCACUACACCUCCCACCGCUCUCCAUCACCUGCUCUGCUCUUAUAAGGAUCCAGAGAAAUGGAAUAAUCUUAUUGCUGAUCUAUGUAAACAAGUUGAAGAAUUGUCUGAAAGAAAAUACAGUGUGUCUAAACUGGAAAAGUCCUGUAAUAGUUUGUUCAUGAGCAUUUACACAGUGGAGUUACUGUUCAUCAUGGGGGUACUGUGGACAAGCCCAGGGCUGCUGACAUGAAGUUAUGAAUUUAAGAUGUGAAGAUUUACAGCUUGAUAAACCAGCUUCAGGAGACAUGAUCUUAUGAAUUCAACACAUGAAGAUUUACAACUUGAUAAACCAGCUUCAGGAGAUCAGAACUUCUUAUAAUACAACUGACGUUACUCAGCCUAGAACAAAUACAACAGGGAUUGUGCUGCAUUCUGACUUGGAUUCUGCCAUCGAACACAGAAUGCCCUGAUCCUUAGAUGCAGAGGCAGCUCUUCAGCCUAUGGGGGCUGCUGUAAAAUAUUACAGGCAUACUUUGGAGAUGUUACGGGUUUGGUUCCACAUCACUGCAAUAAAGCCUUCCAGAUAUACAGUCAUAUUUCUUAUAUUACACGAAAACUGUGGAUUUAGUUACUCCACUCUGCCAUGUCUUUCCACCACUGCCUGCACAUUUGAGACCAAGGAUAGAGAUUGGGAAAAAUUGAUAGUUCUCCUGCCUCAGAGUUUGGCUCCUGCACUCUCAUUUCAGCCAUAGCUGCAGACAAAGCACACGAUUGCUGGGCACUGUGGCUCAAGAGAAGGAGGAGAUGACUCCAGCGGGAGGAAGAAGAGGCCUUUGCCAGCAGUCAGAGCAGCCAAGGGGCCCAAUCCCUCACAUUCUCCAAGUUUGAAGGAAAGAAAACCAACGAGAAGACCCGCAAGAUUACCACAGUGAAGAAAUCUUCAGUACGUCUUCCAGGGUCGGAUCAAAGAAGGCUGAAAUUCAGGAAGCAAAAGCUCCCAGUCCUUCCAUAAACCGGCAAACCAGCAUUGAAAUGGAUAGAGUGUCUAAGGAGUUCAUAGAAUUUCUCAAGACCUUCUGCAAGACAGGCCAAGAAAUCUAUAAACUGACCAAGCUGUUUUUGGAAGGGAUGCAUUACAAAAGGUGCCUCCAGAAUGAGUUGAGAAGAUAAAUGGAUCAGAUUGAAAAGUACAUCAUGACUCAUCUCUAUAAAUAUGUGUUCUGUCCAGAAACUACUGAUGAUGAGAUGAAAGAUCUUGCCAUUCAAAAGAGGAUCAGAGUGGAAGCUGCUCUGUGGUGUCAGAAAGACAAGGAAUGUGGUGACCUCACCUAUCCAUCUCCCUCAAGGCAGCUUUUGAGCCCUUCACUGGGUUACACCUCAGAUGCUGUGUGUCCCUGUUAAUGAAGACAUCCCAGAAGUGUCUGAUACGGUGUUGAAGGCAAUCACAGGGAUUGUGCUGCAUUCUGACUUAGAUUCUGCCAUCAAAAACAGAAUGCCCUGAUCCUUAGAGGCAGAGGCAGCUCUUCAGCCUAUGGGCUUAAGCUCUUGGACUCACUGAGGCAGUAAAAGAACCAUAUCCUGUGUUUGAAUCAAACCCCGAGUUCCUGUAUGUUUAGAAGGUUUGCCAGACAGGAUUCCCUUUUGAAGCCCUCCUGGUUUGGAAUUCCAUGACUUAAAAGGAUCGUCCGUGGGAGUAAUAACAUCAAGUCUGUUGGUAAAAACUUCGCAGUUUCUAAAAAGACCACGAAGCCCUGAGAGUAAUGAAAAGGUUCCUGAAAUUGAGGUCACUGUGGAAGAAGGAAACGUGUCAUGUACCAGCUAUCCAUCCAAUGACUGCCCAUCAGUUCCAUAUUCACCCUUCACUGCCUGAUCUGCAAACAUAGAGGAAGUGACCUCAUAAUGACUCAAGCUACCACUUACUGUUGAUUGUGAUGAAAUGCCAGUGGAGGCACAUGCCUUGGGAGCUAAGUGGCUGCUGCACUUGACCACUAUGAAGACUGGUGUGGGAAGAAUCCUUUUGGAUGCACUUCAGCAGGGACCCCUGAUCCCUGGGUCACAGGCCUGUACUGGGCCACACAACAGGAGGAGAAUCUAAUGCCUGAUGAACUGUCAUUGUCUCCCAUCACCCCCAGAUGGGACCAUCUAGUUGCAGGAAAAGAAGGUCAAGACUCCCACUCAUUCUACAUUAUGUCUUCCUGUGUUGCCCAGGCUGGAGCACAGUGGUUUGAUCUUGGCUCACUGCAGUCUCAACCUCUCAGGCUCAAGCUAUCCUUCUGCCUCAGACUCUGGGGUAGCUGGGACAACAGCCUCAGCCAAGAUGUCUCACCCUACUCUCUAUGAUGCAACAAGAAGCCCCUGGGGAAUGUUUCAGUCCCAGUCUGUACUAUUGUCAUGUGCUCAUCACAGUCUGCUGGAUCUACCAUGAAAGACUUCAGAGUCCAGGAAGAGAGACUGACUGGGCAACAUGUUAUUCAGUUACAAAAAGACUUGGACUAUGACUCAAAAAUGAUCAAAUAAUAGUUCAUGCAUCAAAUGCAAUAGGAAGUACUUCUGGAGGGUGAGAGAAGCAUCCAGUUAAGGUGACAUUGAAGCUGGGUCCUGAAAGAUGAGGAAGAAUUGUAUGAGAGUGGGCAGAGAAGGGGGAGGUGGAGGGAUGGGGAAUGGGCUGGGAUGGAGUGAGCUGCUCAAGUAGGGAGACCAGCACUGUAAAGACCUGGACGAUAAAGACGGCACAUUUUAUUCAGGGAAUGGUGAAUUAAGUGUGGCAGGAAUGCUUUGGAGAGAUAGUAAUUUGCUUGUAUGGAAUUUUGCCCAAGAGGCCUCAUUACAGUUUCUAAUCUUUUGAUGUUAUCAUCUAUCACUGUCCUUGCCAAAUAGUUUGGAAUAGGUAUAAUGAUCACAAUAACAUCAAGCAUAAUAUUUCAUUAAUUCUCACAAAAUCACAGGUAGGUGCCACAGUUAUCCCCAUUUUGUGAAUGAAGUGAUGAAGACUUAGGAAUAAUGAGUGAUUUGCCCAAGCUCACCUGGAUAUUAAGACUGAGUCAAAUGUGGGGUCUGGUCUGACUUUAAUGUUUGCUUUGUUCAUGAGCACCACGUAUUGCCUCUCCUAUGCAGUUAAGCAGGUAGACAGGUGAAAGAAAAGCCCAUGUUAGUCUCUACUCACACACUUCCGACUGAAUGUGUGUGUGGAAUUUCUACACCAAGUUCUCCAAUGCUCUGGAUAUUAACUGGGUAUCCUACAAUUUUAUUCUGACACUUCCUGGAGUUGGCGUAGACCCCACAGGUUACGGGCUCAGUCCCACAAGACCACCCUUGCUUCACAUUGCAAUGGCAAGUCCUAGGUUGUCACCUGCACUUUUGACCAACCUGUUACAAAUCAGGGGUUCCCAUGACCCCCUCUUGGGGUUUAAUCAUUUGCUAGAGCAGCUUACAGAACUCAGAAAAACAGUUUGUUUCCUUUUUUUCUGAGAGACAGGUGGCUCACGCUGUAAUCCCAACACUUUGGGAGGCCGAGGUAGGAGGAUUGCUUAAACUUAGGAGUUUGAGACCAGCCUGGGCAACACGGUGAAACCCUGUCUCUGUAAAAAAUUUUUAAAAAGCUGGGCACGGUGGCUCAAGCCUGUAAUCCCAGCACUCUGGGAGGCCAAGGUGGGUGAAUCACGAGGUCAGGAGUUGAAGACCAGUCUG
ensembl:lncRNA LINC00174 long intergenic non-protein coding RNA 174